rnacentral:rRNA from 1 species
UACGGGGGGGGCAAGCGUUGUUCGGAAUUACUGGGCGUAUAGGGCUCGUAGGCGGCCAACUAAGUCAGACGUGAAAUCCCCAGGCUUAACCGGGGAACUGCGUCUGAUACUGGAUGGCUUGAGAUUGGGAGAGGGAUGCGGAAUUCCAGGUGUAGCGGUGAAAUGCGUAGAUAUCUGGAGGAACACCGGUGGCGAAGGCGGCAUCCUGGACCAACACUGACGCUGAGGAGCGAAAGCCAGGGGAGCAAACGGG